rnacentral:rRNA from 1 species
CAGUCGCCGCGGUAAUACAGAGGGUGCAAGCGUUAAUCGGAAUUACUGGGCGUAAAGCGUGCGUAGGCGGUUUGUUAAGUCUGCUGUGAAAUCCCCGGGCUCAACCUGGGAAUGGCAGUGGAUACUGGCAAGCUAGAGUGUGUCAGAGGAUGGUGGAAUUCCCGGUGUAGCGGUGAAAUGCGUAGAGAUCGGGAGGAACAUCAGUGGCGAAGGCGGCCAUCUGGGACAACACUGACGCUGAGGCACGAAAGCGUGGGGAGCAAACAGGAUUAGAGACCCCCGUAGUCCCUGUCUCUUAUAC